UUGUGGGAAGAUAAAGGAUGGUUUCAUCCUUCUUCCAAGUACUUGACUUUGCCCAAGGUCUAUUUAGCAAUCUAUUUUUAGCUGCUGUCUUACAUUAAAAUGCAGUACAACGUAGGCGAUCUAGGAAUGGUUGAGGAUUUAUUUGUGCAAAGGCCUUAAACGCCCCUUUUAUGGCCAUAUGUUGAAGGGUUUGAUAGUAGUGCAAGUUUGAGGAACACUUUUGGGGAUGGUUGAUUCCGUUGGGAAGGCAUUCCUCCGGAGUAGAAAUGCACCAAAUUUACACUCCAAUGUGAAUGCACUUUUAUCUUUAUGCAUGGUCUAUGCAGGAUACUACUGGACGGUAUCUAUUUUUACGGGAGGUUGAAAAUUUAACUUUGUUUCUUGGUAGGUCGUUGUUUCCAUGGCAGAUUAAUCCCCAUAGUUGAUCGAUUACUCUAGCAACAGUACCAUAGACGAUAAGAGUGUGGUAUUCGUUUUGACCUCGACCGAUAUCUCUUCGCAAACUUCCAGGUUUUUGGGUAAUCUGUUGCUGGCCAAGAAUAUCGCAGCGUUGUUAACUAGAUUUACGACGUUAAUACAUCAUAUUUAUUGCAAGGAAAGUCAUCGUUCCACGGGGGACCAAACCUGAGGGACACAAUGAAACUUUCCUGUUUAAGUGUUAGGUAUACCAAAUUCUAUUUAUUAGAAAGUUGUACAGUUUUCGGUGUCACCGUGGAUUCAGCUGUAUCGCUUUAAUACUCUGCAGCCAGUGACUAUUCAUUAAAAUUCUACAACAAAGAAGCAACUGGCAAAUUAGACGGACAGUGCUGUUAAAUGAAUGGAUAUUUGUUCAAUAUUGGAAGCUACCCGGUUAACUUGAGUAUCAGCAUCAACAAGAGCACAGAAUAACAUUUCGGAGUUACCUUCCUCGGAUCAAUUUCCAUGCAGAUGAUCGAGAAUGGUAUUCCACAUUUCAUAGGUGACACAAAACUGAUUCGCUAUUCUUCGUCGAAGCUGUUCGAAUGUAGUGGUCGUUUCACAGUCUAACGUGAAAUGAAACGGUCAGGACAAACACGGAGGAGUAUUUAGGCCGAGGUGUUCGCUCCAAAUCUCCAAAGUUCCUGUGGGGUAAGUUGCGAUUUGAUAAUUCGUUGGUUUCUCAGAAUUACAGUAAACCCACAAUCAAGAUUUCUAGCUGAAGCUGAGAU